CCGUGCUAGAUGGGGAACCAGCGAUGCCCUGUAACCUGCGAUCGCUACAGCAGGGUCGAAUUCCCGGCAGAGGCCGUAUGAUUUAUGCUGCACUCAGGAAGUGGUGUUGAGAUCUUGGUCCCACGCAACAUAUGCCGGUGAACCUCGUCAGGACCGGAAGGUAGCAGCGAUAAAUCGGAAUGUUAUGUGUGCCGUGGCAAACCUGGGUUGAGCUAACCCUGGGCGACAAUGAAUCGUAUUGGUCGAAGCCGGGUGCACGG
rnacentral:SRP_RNA from 2 species